rnacentral:lncRNA from 1 species
AUCAUAAAUCUCUCCUCCUCUAAGUUGUGUGUGUCAGGUAUUUUGAAAAUGCACAACGUCCCAGCUUCCAGAACCAUAAGCCAAAAUAAUGCCCAGUCUCAGAUAUUCUGUGAUGGCAACAGAAAACAGAUGAAGGCAGUUUAUGCAAGGAGUUAUAUAACCACACUUUGAAUAAGAGCUUUUUUUUUUUUUGCUUUUUUUAACUUCAUACCUUAAGAGUUGAGUUCCUACUGGACCCUUGUGCCCUGGCUGAGGAGGGGGAAGGAGAUGAGGCCUGAAGCCCCACACAGUUCUCUCUUGCCCUUUACUUCCUACUCAGCUGCACUGAGAAGGGAAACAUGAACCCAAGUUAGGACCACACUCCUGCCCUGCUUGGGCUUUGUCCUCUGGGCUUUGUUGGAUUGUUGUGGAUUCAUCUCCUAGGAACCGUCUGACUCCCUCUCUCCUGGGUGUUCCUGCAGCUCAGGGAGUCUCGUUCAUCUCUAAACUCCUGUUUAGAGGAGUUGAGGCACUAACCCAAGUAGAAACAUUGCCCAAUGGAAUUGGUGAAUGGAAGCAUCUCAUCUCAGAGCACCGCAGAUUCCUCAUCUGCAAAUGGAGCAGCUUGGCAAGAACAAACCCAUCUCCAAGGUCCUUGGCUUGAAAUUUGGCUUUAUUCUUACUACUGACAUUGAUUUAAAUGACAUUUAUAUUGCAUAGAAAAUGCUCAAAUUAUUACUCCAAUAGGCAAGCAUAAGUCACUGAGAUUGAAAUGUCUUCCAUCUCAGUUGGCCAGCACAUCACCUCCAUGAAAGGUCUCAACAGGGAGAGGAACUCGAUCUCUUUAUACAAUGACAAUCUGGAUCUGCUUGGGAGCGCAGGCACCUCCUCACACCUGGAUGUCAGAGGUUGG